rnacentral:lncRNA from 1 species
AUGUUCCCACUGAAUUACUUAACAAUGUAUUCCUGUAGGACAGCCAAAAGAGGUGCACAGAGAUCAAUGCUUAUCAUCAAAAUGUCAAGGUCUGACAGAACCGAGACCGAAAGCCCGAGGGCCCGCUGCCCCUUCCACCGUCAUCCACCGGGACGCCUCACCUUCAGGGCCCCGAAGGCCUUUGUCCGGCGUCGUCCGGACGAGGGGAGAUCUCGUCCCACUGGGACAGAGCGGGCACCGCCAUGUCCCGGAUCCGCGCGGCUCCAAGGCCUGCGGGUGGCCCAGCCCGUGUCCAGCAGAGCCACCUACCGGCGCUCCUCUGCGUUCGCGCCGCCGCCAUUCUUCCGCCCCGCCACGCCCGACGCCCGACGCCCGACGGCGCCGCGUCCUCGGCAGCUCGGCGGGGGCUUCGCCGCGGCCCAGCAAGGCUGCGCAGGGAGACAGGGGUCGGCCGAGUCCGGCCCGAGAGGCCGCCGCCAUUACGACGCAGAGGUGGGGGUGGGACGAGAGGGUCGCUCCUGCUUCAAGGUCGGCCCGGCCCGCGGGCAGCCGCGGCGAAGGCUCCGGGUCUCUGCAGGGCAGAGCCCGCUACGGUCUGGCCCCCGGCCCCCCAGCCCACCCCCGGCCCGAGGCCGGAGGGCCUGGAGGGCCCCGGGACACAAGGCCGUGGGCCGCUUCCCACCGCGCGCUCUGCCGGAACUCUAGAGCUGAGUUUUGAGGGAUGAAUGGGCUUUAUGGAGAAUCAUGAAGACAUUCCACUUAAAGGGCAAAAGCACGUUCAAAAGCUCAGAGGUGGCAAAGAACAUUGCAGGUCACCUUCUACCUGCAGGAGGUAGAAAGGGGACAGCUUGGGAGGGACGUCAAAUGCCACACUAGUGAGCCUGGGAAACCCAGCGAGUGAUGAAUUCCUGUGAAAGCUGGCUUAAAUCAAAUGGUAACAUUUGGAGAAAUUCCAGAGAGAAAAUUUCAGCUUAAUAAGCUCUAACUCUGAAUGAAGCAUCUGUUUCCUCUUAUUUUGCUAAUAGCAUUGUGAUUGGUGUGAGGGGCAAAGGGGACAGCCUGUUAGUCCCUAAGGUUUGACUAGAGGGACUCUACCCCCACCCCACACACAGCAGGGACUAUGUGACCUGGGCCUUGUCAAUGGCACUGCCUCAUCCCCCCAGCCAGUGAUUGGUCCAGAGGAGAGCACAUGGCCCCCAAGAUGGGCCAGUCAGAGGCAAUGAACAUGGGGGUUGGUGGGGACCAUCAAUAAGAGGACUCCCUUCCCACUGGGUGGCUAAGUUAGUAAGACCAUAACCUAGAGCUGCCUGUGGCCACCUGUUUGGCCAUUCUCCUGAAGUAUGAAAAUUUUGAAAAAUGAAAAUGAAGCCAAAACAGGGAAAGCAAGUUCAAGAGAUGAGAUAAUCCUGAGAACACGGUUUGAGCACCUGGAUCUAGCCGUGCCUGAAGCUUUUCCACAUACAGUUUUCAGUUACAUGAGCCUAUGAUUUCCCUUUUUUUGUUUGAACCAGUUUGAGUUGCAACUAUCACUUGCACUGGAAACAAUCCUGAUGAACACAAUAGGCUAUGUUUAGAAAAAGAAGUCUGUGUACUCAAGACUUAAAAGUUUCAAGGCACAUUAAUUGUGGAAGGGCCUAUCCCUGCCAAGAUCCUUAUUAUUGCGAAUGAACUGGGCCUCUCCUCCCAAGACCGAAGUGUCUGUGACAGCAAGAGAUUUAUAUGGAGUUUAUAUGAGCCAGUGCCACGUCUGGCUCUGAGAAAGUGCUCAGUAAAAGAGGGUUAUCUUCACUCAUUUGUCCAAGAAUCCAUUGUGUACUAAGUCCCAACACGUGCCCAGCCUGGCCCCAAGAGUCAGGAGGGCACGUGGCAGGGGCAGGUCAGGUCUAGGAGCUGCAUUCACAAGCGCACAGGACUCGUUCCCAAGUGAGUCUGUCCGCCUUCCCUGGAGACAGCCAAGAGCCCCCCUGCCAGCGAGGCUUCACAUGUGACUGCUGUAUGUUUCCCACCUGAGCAGAUCGGUCACUCUUAUUUAUCAAGCACCUACUGCAGGGCAGUCUCUGUGCUGGUGCUUCAGUCACACGACUCCAUUUAGUCCUCCCCCAAACCUUCUAUGAGGCAAGAUGACCCCAUCUACAGAGGAGGAAGCUGAUGACGUGGCUUGCCCAAGGUUACAAGUUCUGGUCCUGGGAGAGGAACCUAGAUCUGUCUGAGUGCCAGGCAGCACCUACUCCACACCCCACCCCCCCCCGACCCCGCCCCAAGCAUCUGUGAGAAGGGCUGGAUGUGUCAGUACAAGAACUUUCUCUUCAGGACAAGUGCUCAUGGUCUGCAAAAGUGAUUAGGGGCACAUGCAAGGACAUCCACUCCUACAGAGCCGAGUGGGAGCGAUCCCCUCCUCCGAAUCGAGCCACCCCUAGACAACACCGUCCGGUCACAGAAGCUGCUCUGCUGGGGGCGGGGCUGAAGACGUUCAGCAGUCCUCAAACCUGAAAAGAUUAAGCUUCUACUCCUACUCAGAUAUGUGUGUGUGAAUAAAAUUCAUAAUAGAUUGAUGUUUUUGAAGUGU